AACGCACAUUGCGCCCCUUGGUAUUCCGAGGGGCAUGCCUAUUCGAGCGUCAUUAUCACCCCUCAAGCCUAGCUUGGUGUUGGGGCUUGCUGUAAAGGCAGCCUCUAAAAUCAGUGGCAGUGCUGUCAGGCUCUAAGCGUAGUAAAUUCAUCGCUAUAGGGUCCUGGUGGAUACUCGUCAAAACCCCCCAUUUUUAAUGAUUGACCUCGGAUUAGGUAGGGAUACCCGCUGAACUUAA
rnacentral:misc_RNA from 5 species